UACGGAGGGUGCAAGCGUUAUCCGGAUUUACUGGGUUUAAAGGGUGCGUAGGCGGGCUUGUAAGUCCGUGGUGAAAUCCCCGAGCUUAACUUGGGAACUGCCAUGGAUACUAUAGGUCUUGAAUAUUGUGGAGGUAAGCGGAAUAUGUCAUGUAGCGGUGAAAUGCUUAGAUAUGACAUAGAACACCAAUUGCGAAGGCAGCUUGCUACACGAUUAUUGACGCUGAGGCACGAAAGCGUGGGGAGCAAACAGG
rnacentral:rRNA from 1 species